rnacentral:rRNA from 1 species
CUGCGAAUGGCUCAUUAAAUCAGUUAUCGUUUAUUUGAUAGUACCUUACUACUUGGAUACCCGUGGUAAUUCUAGAGCUAAUACAUGCAAAAAACCCCAACUUCGGGAGGGGUGUAUUUAUUAGAUAAAAAACCAAUGCCCUUCGGGGCUCCUUGGUGAUUCAUAAUAACUUAACGGAUCGCAUGGCCUUGCGCCGGCGACGGUUCAUUCAAAUUUCUGCCCUAUCAACUUUCGAUGGUAAGGUAUUGGCUUACCAUGGUUUCAACGGGUAACGGAUUUUUAGGGAAAGAUCCCGGAGAGGGAGCCUGAGAAACGGCUACCACAUCCAAGGAAGGCAGCAGGCGCGCAAAUUACCCAAUCCCGACACGGGGAGGUAGUGACAAUAAAUACUGAUACAGGGCUCUUUUGGGUCUUGUAAUCGGAAUGAGUACAAUUUAAAUACCUUAACGAGGAACAAUUGGAGGGCAAGUCUGGUGCCAGCAGCCGCGGUAAUUCCAGCUCCAAUAGCGUAUAUUAAAGUUGUUGCAGUUAAAAAGCUCGUAGUUGAACCUUGGGCCUGGCUGGCCGGUCCGCCUCACCGCGUGUACUGGUCCGGCCGGGCCUUUCCUUCUGGAGAACCGCAUGCCCUUCACUGGGUGUGUCGGGGAACCAGGACUUUUACUUUGAGAAAAUUAGAGUGUUCAAAGCAGGCCUUUGCUCGAAUACGUUAGCAUGGAAUAAUAGAAUAGGACGUGCGGUCCUAUUUUGUUGGUUUCUAGAACCGCCGUAAUGAUUAAUAGGGAUAGUCGGGGGCGUCAGUAUUCAAUUGUCAGAGGUGAAAUUCUUGGAUCUAUUGAAGACUAACUACUGCGAAAGCAUUCGCCAAGGAUGUUUUCAUUAAUCAGUGAACGAAAGUUAGGGGAUCGAAGACGAUCAGAUACCGUCGUAGUCUUAACCGUAAACUAUGCCGACUAGGGAUCGGGCGAUGUUUCUAUAUUGACUCGCUCGGCACCUUACGAGAAAUCAUAAG